rnacentral:rRNA from 1 species
AUUGAACGCUGGCGGCAGGCCUAACACAUGCCAGUCGAGCGGUAGAGAGAAGCUUGCUUCCCUUUAGAGCGGCGGACGGGUGGGUAAUUCCUAGGAAUCUGCCUGUUAGUUGUGUAUAACGUUCUGAAACGGACGCUAAUACCGCAUACGUCCUACGGGAGAAAGCAGGGGACCUUCGGGCCUUGCGCUAUCAGAUGAUCCUAGGUCGGAUUAUCUAGUUGGUGGGGUAAUGGCUCACCAAGGCGACGAUCCGUAACUGGUCUGAGAGGAUGAUCAGUCACACUGGAACUGAGACACGGUCCAGACUCCUAAGGGAGGCAGCAGUGGGGAAUAUUGGACAAUGGGCGAAAGCCUGAUCCAGCCAUGCCGCGUGUGUGAAGAAGGUCUUCGGAUUGUAAAGCACUUUUAGUUGGGAGGAAGGGCAGUAAAUUAAUACUUUGCUGUUUUGACGUUACCGACAGAAUAAGCACCGGCUAACUCUGUG